rnacentral:tmRNA from 1 species
GGGGAUGUACUGAUUCGACGGAUUUUUGGUUUUUAUCCUGGCAAGUCGAGGAAGGCUUGAAAGACCUCGUAAAAAGUUCAAGCAAAAAAUAAACGCCAACGAUAACUUGGCUCCUGCUUACGCCGUCGCCUAAUCAGCCUCUGGCUGAAGCAGGCAUCCACGCGGCUUUCUCCUAACAAGGCCGCAAUGGGUGUCAUAAUUUAUCCCGAUGUAACAUCGGGAGGUUAGGAUAAGAUAAUUUUUCCUGGUUGAGGGAAAUUAUCAAACAAAUUAUCAACCGUCCGUCACGUAAAGUCCCGCUCCGCGGGGCCACGUGAUAAACUUGUAACUCUAGGGAAAAACGAUAAAAAUCCGGACCCCGGGUCACACCCGGGCAUCUCCACCA